AUUCAUCAAGUACUAAGAGGAUCAUAGAAUGGGUGUUGGCAGUAGUUCUGGUUGGAGCAGGAGGAGCUGGUUUGGUGCUGUACUGUAUAAAGAAAAGAGGUCAACGAGAAAACAGUAGAAGAUCAACCUUUGAUGAAAACAUCUUGAAGUUAACUGCAGACGGACUGGAAGUUCAUCACCAUCCAUCAUAUGAAAACAUCAAAGUGGACAUCAAUAUAAGACAGGAAACAGCUGAUUGUUUGUCUGACAAAAGAAGGAGCUGAAAGAAGAAACAGAAGCACAGCACCAACGACUGCACCUGUGAUUCAACACAUGACGAGUGUCCUCCACCUGUGAAACCAUCUCUGUUUGGGGGGGGUUGUCUCAUUGUUGUCCCUCUAGUGCACCUGUUGUUAAUGUCAUCAACACCAAAGCAGCUGAAACUGAUUAACGAGCCCCUCUGAUAAUGAACUGACCACAUCUGUUAUUUAUUUUUUGAGCAGUGUAUAAACUCAAUAUUAUAAAGUUAAUGAAACUCAAAGAAUUUAAGUGUUUUGCGAUACUGCAAAACACAAAUGCUGUAAGAUGUUAUGUCUCAACAGGCGGGAUAAACAAUAGAAAAGGUGUUCACUACAUGGGGUUUACAAGUUACUAUUAAAAAAAAAUUAACCUGAAGUCUAACAUGAUCCACAAAGCAAUUCAAGAACUAAGAGAUGAAAAUGUUAACUAACAAAGAUGUGCUGAUUCCAACAUGGGAGUCUAAUCAAACAACAUCAGCUGUGGCUCCUGGACUCUCAUCAACGUUAUCAACAAAGAAAUCCUGGUGAAGUUCAAGGUGAGAAGAGUCAUACAAGCCCUCCUGUCCAGGCCGACCGCUCUAAAGGUUCCACAAAACACUGCUGGUUCCACCUGAUGCUCUGUAAGAAGGCCCAACAUCUGGCAAUAACAGGUGAACUGUGAGUUCCUGAACCCAUCACCUCUGUGGAAAGUCUGGGCCCACGGGGAGUGACAACUGGUGUGCUCCCCAACGUGGGGGGUGAUAGGCAAAUAGGCACACCCAGUCACAGGGUACCAGUGAAGAACACAUUAGUGGUUGGAGGGGAAAGGAACUCUCAGAGAACCAACUGAUCACAAUAUUCCAGUCUUAGCACGUUCAGCAGUCUGACUCAUAAUCAGUUUGAUAAUAAGGCCACAACCAUGGCACCUGUUCAGGAGGCCAGGAUUU